GCAUUGCUGAAGAGUCCUGCAAUAGGACGAAACAGCUGUCCAAUGC
rfam:Schistosoma mattheei strain Denwood, Zambia genome assembly, scaffold: SMTD_scaffold0001251